GUUUUAUUGAUUAAUAAUUUUAAGUCCAAUCUGCUCCAUGAAAAAUUUAAAUAGCUGCAGUAACAUUAACUGUACAAAGGUAGCAUAAUAAUUAGUUUUUUAAUUAAAAACUAGAAUGAAAGAUUUAAUGAAAUAUAAACUUUAUCAAAUUUAAAAAAUAAAAUUAUUAAUUAAAUAAAAAUAUUUAAAUAAAAGUUAAAGACGAGAAGACCCUAAAGAAUUUUUAUAAUUUAUAAAUUAACUUUAAUUUAAAAUAAUUAUUUUAAUUGGGGAAAUUUUAAAAUUUAAUUAAUUUUUAAUUAAAUUAAUAACAUAAAUUUUUGAAUAUUUAUUAAUUAAUAAAGAAAUAAAAUUAAAUUACCUUAGGGAUAACAGCAUAAUUUUUUUAAAAAGUUCAAAUUUAUAAAAAAGCUUAU
rnacentral:rRNA from 1 species